GGUAUCUUUUUUGUUUGUUUUGAAAUUAGGCCCCGAUUGAAUAUUAUAAAUCUAUGUGUGGAUUUUGAGUUAGGUCUUUUUGGGUAUGGAUGAGUUCGGUUUUGAUGUAUAAGAACCUAAAAAUAUUUAAAUAACAAAUGUAUCUGAAACGGGUUCAGAUAUUUGUACCAAAAAUCACUAUUAUUAUCCGAUUUGGUACAAGUUUUUGGAAUACAAUUCGUUAUAUUAUGAUUCAUCUAAAAAUAUAUAACACUAAUUAUGGAAAAAAAAUAUCAAUGUAUAAAAAUAUAAGAAACUCGCGGAUUUCUAGUUCAAACUUAAACUAAUAGCGAGCAUGUAAUUUAAUAG
rnacentral:lncRNA from 1 species